UCGCGCAAACUUUGCAAUACACGAAAGUGUGACAGGGCUAUCCCGAGUGCCGUCCGCUGAGGAUGGCUUUUAACCAGUCUAAAAAGCUGGCAGAAUAAGGAGAGGGCAAGUCUGGUGUCAGCCGCCGCGGUAAUACCAGCUCUCCGAGUGGUGUGGAUGUUUAUUGGGCCUAAAGCAUCCGUAGCUGGCUGAGUUAGUCCCCUGUUAAAUCCACCGAAUUAAUCGUUGGAGUGCGGGGGAUACUGCUCGGCUAGGGGACGAGAGAGGCCGACGGUAUUCCCGGGGUAGGGGUGAAAUCCUAUAAUCCCGGGAAGACCACCAGUGGCGAAGGCUGUCGGCUAGAACGCGCCCGACGGUGAGGGAUGAAAGCUGGGGGAGCGAACCGGAUUAGAUACCCGGGUAGUCCCAGCUGUAAACGAUGCAGACUAGGUGUUUGGGCGGCCACGCGCCGCUCUAGUGCCGCAGGGAAGCUGUUAAGUCUGCCGCCUGGGGGAGUACGGUCGCAAGGCUGAAACUUAAAGGAAUUGGGAC
rnacentral:rRNA from 1 species